UGAUUAAAUAUUCUCUCUUAGUGGCCUGAUAUGCAGAAAAAACAAAACAUGCAAAUCAUUUCAUCUUACACUUUUUACAUAAUGUAAAAAACAUUAUUUGGUCAGCUGUACAGUUUUGUAACACAGUAUUGCCACAAAGUGCAUAAAAGCAAAUGCAAACAGAUGGAAAUGAAGUAUAAACCAUGACUGCAGCUGCUGGCAUUUCUAGGUCAUGAGGGAACAUGACGGUGGUGUGAAUUCAUUAGAUCUGAUAUUCUGAAUCACUUAUCAGAUAUUACCCUAACACAUGCAGCGUAACACAUUAAACUAGUUUUGAUAGUUGAAGGUUAUGAGAUUGAUUCAAAAACCUUGCAACUUUUGGACAAAUACUCUGCAUUUACAUGGAUCGGUGGAUUGGCCCGGAAUAUCAAAGAAAUCCCUACGAAGUUCCUGUAAGCAAGCCACUUACCUGUUACCUCACCUGGUGGUCUGAAGAAAUUUACUUGGUGAUUUGCUUCCUAGUAUUAAUUCAGGUAAUACAUUUUCAUCUUUGUGCAUUCACCUCAUUUACUGAACUCAAUAUAAGUGAGAGAACAGCAGCAUUCAAAUGGAUGUUUUAACAUGGUUAAGGUCUUGUAAUGUAAGUAAAGAUGUCUCCCUCUCUCUCAAUUACCUGCUUCUCAUGUAAAGAUAAAUCUUUGUUUCUUUCUAAAUUGAGAAGAGUUUUUGUCCUCACAAUUCAUGGUUCAUUUCACCCAUCACGCUAAGAACCGAAAAGCCUUAAUCAAAUGCUCUCAAAAGACCAUCAAGUCAUCGCUUUGACUAUUUUAAAUAGAUGCCAUUUUAGAGAAGAAGCAUGCUACCAAACCGAAGAGAACUAAGUUUCUUCUUUGGGGUAAAAAUGUUGUCAGAGAGUGACCAAAGACAUUUGUCAUCCAGAUCAACAAGAAAUUCUUCUGGUGUUCCAUUUGGAUGAUUUUCUGCUGUGAGAGCAGUAAACUCAUGACUGAACAGCACAGGAAAAAGAGCGCUGGAGCAUGCAAGCAGCUAUAAAUCCUUCAAUCGCUUUUUCUUUGAUUAAUUCUCAUGAAGAACUCAGGUGAAAUUGACACAGGGAGAUGAAAGGUAGUUUCCUUAUACCGCCUCUUCUCUCUUUCCAUUCUCCUCGGGUUAUUUCCUUCUCUCUGCCAGGGGACGUGUUUGGCUGUGAGCAGCAGAGUUGGGAACAGCAUCAGCAUCCAUUUAUCCACAUCAUUACCCACAUCUACCACUGCUGCCACAGACACACAGAGCUCAGUCUCCAAUCUCCAGUCCACAAGAUGACACUUUGACCUCUGGGAAGUGCUGCCAUGUGAUUACAGAAGAGGAGAGAUGCAAAGACACGGCGAACAGUUGUUGUUAAGGUAACGUGUUGUAACUUUGCAGAAGAGAAAGAUUACUUUUGUCAAAAAAUGACUAUACAGGAAGUCAUUAGUACUAAUAAAUACACUCACUGACCACUUUAUUAGGUAAACUUGUUUAACUGCUUGUUAACAAAAAUAUCGAAUCAACCAAUCACAUUGCAACAACUCAAUGCAUUUAGGUGUGUAGACACAGUCAAGAUGAUCUGCUGAAGUAUAAACUGAGCUUCAGAAAAGCAUGGUGAUUGUUUGCUGACAGACUGAUCUGCUGAGUGUUGAUAAGGAACAAGAAGCAAAAAACUGCCCUUUUUUCAAGAGGGCAGUAUGAAUUGCAAUAAAUAUAAAAUGGGCAAAAAAGACUGGAUUGAUGUUAAUGUUGAAUACACAGUAAGUAGAGUAGUGUAGUCAUACGAAACAGGUCAUUUCUUUAUUUUAUCUAUAAAGUUUUUGUAAUUCCUGUUGACUACAACCUCUUUUAGGUUGUAAUAUAUUCAUGAUAUGUUGUUAUUAUUGUUGUUGUUAUUAUUGUUAUUAUUAUCAUUAUUAUUAUUAUUAUUAUUAAUAUUAAAAUUGUGUUUAUUUUGUUUUAUUUUGUUGUAGCUUUAACUUGUUGUAGGUGUGAGGUCACUUUUAAAAUCUCGGCAAUUCGCUGUACAAGACUCAAAGUAAUUGACUUUACUUUUCAGACCUGGAAG
rnacentral:lncRNA from 1 species